rnacentral:lncRNA from 1 species
GGAGGGGAGCCAACGAAAGGUUAAAGAGGCCGGCAGUGGAGGCAGCAGGUUGGACAUUGCUAACGGGAAGAGGGAGGAGACCAGAGCCACGGCCCAGCUGUGAGGCGGAAAAGGAGAGUGUACUCCAAAGCACAACACCACAUGCGGCGCUGGAUGCCAGCAGCCCCCUCCUGGUGACCGCGGCCCGGGCCGGGGGCUCACAGAUAGGAUCCCUCCCAGCACCCGGGGAGGGGGAGGAAGGCUCAGGAGGCAGACCGCAGGCGAGGCGCCGAGGGAGGAGAAUGCGGCCCGUGAGGAGGAGAGGCCGCUGCGCCCUGGGCACCCACCGCGAUGUCCGUUCCCGAGGCUGGCAGUCAGGGCUGACUGCUGGUGACAACCGGGAGCUUCUUCAGCCCGAAGGGAUUACUGACAAGUUUGGUAUGCAGGGGGCAGAGAAAAAGCCCAGCGCCAGCCUUUGAAGCAUUUCCCAUGUGUCCUCUCCCAGGUGAGGGCUGCAGCCACCUGUGGGCCCAGCAUGAGCUUGCCCUGGUUUGCUUCCUUCCUCUCCCUGUCCUUCCUUUCCUUUUGAUGACUUCUCUGCAAAGCUCGCUGUGAAUGCCAUGUGUGCAGGCAGCGUGGGGCGGCUCUGGGCCAGGGCCGGAGCUGGCCUUUUCUAGUGUCAACACAUGGAGCCUCUUUGCUAUCAGCUAUAGAUCCGUUUGCCCCAUGCUCCCACAGCAUCCAAGGUCCACGGGUUAUCCGUGAGUCUGCUGAGCGGCAUUAAAGAAGAAGGCUUUCCCUGGCACCAAGGGAUUACUACCAAGCACCAGCUAUGAUGUGGCUGGAGAAGGACCUUGAAUAAAAGGGUCAAUUCGACCAGCAGAAUAUGUCAGCCUACAGGUAACAUCCGGAGUUAAAAAUGUUUUUUGACCCUGAAUAAAAUGGGGAAAUAAAAAGGACAAAUGAGUUUAUAUGCCUAGGAGUCUCCAAAAAAGAGCCGGGAGGUCAUCAGAGGGGUUGCCCUCAUGCACACCUCAGCCCAGUUCCAGAGGCAGAUAAAGUAGAUACAACCCCAGGUAUUGGUUCUUCUGAGGGCUACAGAGACCCACAGGUUCUAUGGUCAUGGCAGAUGGAGUUCAGUGCCAUGUCAGCUGGCCCUACUUUGGAGUUUGUGGUCCUGAGUGUGACGGAGCUGGACUCAGGUGUGAUCUUUGUUCACAAGCCUCUCCUGUCGCUUUUACUGAACCUGUGGUUGGCGCUGGGGUUUAGUGUAUACUCAGGGGACCUGAAUCUCUGGACUGUCCAUGUGACAGCCAGGCCCUGAGCCUCACUAGACUUGCAACUCCUACAUUCUGGUUUAUUGGACUUACCCCACUCAGCUAACAUGGAGGCAAGGAAGGUCAACCACCGCACCAGGGAGCCAAGAGUGCCUACAACUGAAAGCAGGAGAAUUGCAUCCAGCAUCCAAGUGGAAUCUAAGGCCCCUCUCGAUACAGAAGUGGAGCAGACAUCACCAU